CCUGCUUUUGUGGGGUGCUCGAGUGGCGAACGGGUGAGUAACACGUGAGUAACCUGCCCUUGACUUUGGGAUAACUUCAGGAAACUGGGGCUAAUACCGGAUAGGAGCUCCUGCUGCAUGGUGGGGGUUGGAAAGUUUCGGCGGUUGGGGAUGGACUCGCGGCUUAUCAGCUUGUUGGUGGGGUAGUGGCUUACCAAGGCUUUGACGGGUAGCCGGCCUGAGAGGGUGACCGGCCACAUUGGGACUGAGAUACGGCCCAGACUCCUACGGGAGGCAGCAGUGGGGAAUAUUGCACAAUGGGCGGAAGCCUGAUGCAGCAACGCCGCGUGCGGGAUGACGGCCUUCGGGUUGUAAACCGCUUUCGCCUGUGACGAAGCGUGAGUGACGGUAAUGGGUAAAGAAGCACCGGCUAACUACGUGCCAGCAGCCGCGGUGAUACGUAGGGUGCGAGCGUUGUCCGGAUUUAUUGGGCGUAAAGGGCUCGUAGGUGGUUGAUCGCGUCGGAAGUGUAAUCUUGGGGCUUAACCCUGAGCGUGCUUUCGAUACGGGUUGACUUGAGGAAGGUAGGGGAGAAUGGAAUUCCUGGUGGAGCGGUGGAAUGCGCAGAUAUCAGGAGGAACACCAGUGGCGAAGGCGGUUCUCUGGGCCUUUCCUGACGCUGAGGAGCGAAAGCGUGG
rnacentral:rRNA from 1 species